CAGAUUUGGUGGCCAGGCUGUCAGCCGGUGAAGAUGUGGAUGCAGAACAGGCGUUGUACCUGGCAGUCAUGGGGCCCAGAGUGACAGCCAGCGAGGGAGAGACUGUCCGUAAUAAAGAGAGACAAAUAGCACGUCCUGGAAGACAGCUUAUCAGUGAGAAGGAAGUGGACCUGCAGAAAGAGAAUGCAGGACCUGAGCCCUAGGACCAUGCCCCAGGACUACCUGACAUGAUGACUCCUUGCUGUCCCCAGUCCACCUGACCGUGCUGCUGCUCCAGUUUCAACUGUUCUGCCUUAUUAUUAUACGACCAUGCUGGUCAUUUAUGAACAUUUGAACAUCUUGGCCAUGUUCUGUUAUAAUCUCCACCCGGCACAGCCAGAAGAGGACUGGCCACCCCACAUAGCCUGGCAUUGCUUGCUGUUUGGGGUUUUAGGCUGGGUUUCUGUACAGCACUUUGAGAUAUCAGCUGUUGUACGAAGGGCUAUAUAAAUACAUUUGAUUUAAUUUGAUUUGAAAUGAAUGAGGAAGUGAAGAAGUUCCACAAGGACGCUGUGUUCCUGGAUUAGAGGUGAGGGAAGAGCACCUCUGUGUUCCAAGUCUCUCCCCGAGUCUCCCCGAGUCUUCCAGAGUCUAUUGGAUCUAAAAACAUUAGUAUAUUCAGCUGCUUUGUUUAACUAAAUUAUGGAAAGCCAGACUGCUUUAUGACUGAGCAAACACCUAUUUUUAAUCCCGAAAAUGUAAUUCAAUAAAAAGCAAUUUAACGAGUCUCUCAUUUUAACCUUGUGUGUGACCCUAAAUCUAUACACACUCUUAAAAAAGUUUGCUGC
ensembl:lncRNA